CACUUCUAAGGAAGGCAGCAGGCGCGCAAAUUACCCAAUCCUGACUCAGGGAGGUAGUGACAAGAAAUAACAAUAAACCGGCUUAUGCCGGUUUAAUUGGAAUGAGUACAAUUUAAACAUCUUAACGAGGAACAAUUGGAGGGCAAGUCUGGUGCCAGCAGCCGCGGUAAUUCCAGCUCCAAUAGCGUAUACUAAAGUUGUUGCAGUUAAAAAGCUCGUAGUUGGAUUUCUGUGGGGACGGAGCGGCCGGCCGCAACACGCGGUUCGAGCUAGCGCUUUCCCUACAUCCUGCCGCGAACCGUGCUACCAUUAGUUUGGUGGCGCCGGGGAUCGGCUCGAUUACUUUGAGAAAAAUAGAGUGUUCAAAGCAGGCCACAUGCCUUGAAUAAGUUAGCAUGGAAUAAUAACUAAGGACUUCGGUUCUAUUUUGUUGGUGUUCGGGACUGAAGUAAUGAUUGAUAGGGACAGUUGGGGCGGUCUGUAUUCCAAAGCGAGAGGUGAAAUUCUUAGACCUUCGGAAGACAAACAGCUGCGAAAGCGUUCCGCAAGGAUGUUCCCUUUGAUCAAGAACGAAAGUUGGGGGAUCGAAGACGAUCAGAUACCGUCGUAGUCUCAACUAUAAACUAUACCAGCUAGGGAUCGGCCAACGUUAUUUCAAACCGACUUGGUCGGCACCUUAUGAGAAAUCAAAGCAUCUGGGUUCCGGGGAGAGUAUGGUCGCAAGGCUGAAACUUAAAGGAAUUGACGGAAGGGCACCACCAGCCGUGGAGCCUGUGGCUUAAUUUGACUCAACACGGGAAAACUUACCAGGUCCAGACAUAGUAAGGAUUGACAGAUUGAUAGCUCUUUCUUGAUUCUGUGGGUGGUGGUGCAUGGCCGUUCUUAGUUGGUGGAGUGAUUUGUCUGGUUAAUUCCGUUAACGAACGAGACCCCAGCCUGCUAAAUAGCGCGCGUGAGCUUUGCUCGCGGCGAGCUUCUUAGAGGGACUAUGAUGCGCGAUAGCACAUGGAAGUUUGGGGCAAUAACAGGUCUGUGAUGCCCUUAGAUGUUCUGGGCCGCACAUGGGCUACACUGGCGCCUGCAACGAGCAUAUCAGCUGGCCCGAGAGGGUCUUGGCUAAUCUUUUGAACCGGCGCCGUGCUUGGGAUUGACCUUUGCAAUUGUUGGUCAUGCAACGAGGAAUGCCUUGUAAACGCGAGUCAUCAGCUCGCAUUGAAUACGUCCCUGCCCUUUGUACACACCGCCCGUCGCUCCUACCGAUGAAUGUUCCGAUGAAAUUUUCGGAGAGUGCCUGUGAACUUGGCUCUGCCUUGCGAACGGGAAGCUCAAAGUCACUUAAAUCUGAACAUUUCGAGG
rnacentral:rRNA from 1 species